UGUUUACGUACUAUCUGUGUUAAUACUAUGUAGUGUGUACUGUGUACUAAUUAAAUUGACAAAAAGAAAUUGUUGAAUUAACUUAAAUUAUGUAUUCGAUUUUUAAUGUUAAAAACAAAAUAAAACUAAAUACAUCAAUACGAAAAAAUAAUUUAGACGAAACUGUCGAAACUCAUAGCGAUGAAUCAAAAACAAACAAAAUGUAACAUGAACAACAUGAUGAACAUAAUGACGAUGAUGUAAACGUUCGACAAAAAAAUAUGUUUUAAAUUUGAACAAACAGUCAAACAGUUGAUUUGAGUGAUAUUAAUUUGGGCCCAAAGCAACCUAAACUUCAAGUACUUGCUCUAAGAGGUCAUGAUGAAAAGUAAUCAACAGUUUCCAAUACAGGAAUCAAAUACCUUAUUCUUAAUGCUCUAGAAACAGUCUAUAUGCAUUUUUCUCGACCCAAUAAAGAUAAACUAUUACAAGAGAUUUGCAGAAAUCGAUGCAAAUAAAAUCACUAUAGAUUUCUACGUUAUGUAAAACGCGUUGAUUGUGUUGUUUUAAAAAUUGUAAAGCAA